GAUCCUGGCUCAGGACGAACGCUGGCGGCGUGCCUAAUACAUGCAAGUCGAACGCUUCACUUCGGUGAAGAGUGGCGAACGGGUGAGUAAUACAUAAGUAACCUGGCAUCUACAGGGGGAUAACUGAUGGAAACGUCAGCUAAGACCGCAUAGGUGUAGAGAUCGCAUGAACUCUAUAUGAAAAGUGCUACGGGACUGGUAGAUGAUGGACUUAUGGCGCAUUAGCUUGUUGGUAGGGUAACGGCCUACCAAGGCGACGAUGCGUAGCCGACCUGAGAGGGUGACCGGCCACACUGGGACUGAGACACGGCCCAGACUCCUACGGGAGGCAGCAGUAGGGAAUUUUCGGCAAUGGGGGAAACCCUGACCGAGCAACGCCGCGUGAAGGAAGAAGUAAUUCGUUAUGUAAACUUCUGUCAUAGAGGAAGAACGGUGGAUAUAGGGAAUGAUAUCCAAGUGACGGUACUCUAUAAGAAAGCCACGGCUAACUACGUGCCAGCAGCCGCGGUAAUACGUAGGUGGCGAGCGUUAUCCGGAAUUAUUGGGCGUAAAGAGGGAGCAGGCGGCACUAAGGGUCUGUGGUGAAAGAUCGAAGCUUAACUUCGGUAAGCCAUGGAAACCGUAGAGCUAGAGUGUGUGAGAGGAUCGUGGAAUUCCAUGUGUAGCGGUGAAAUGCGUAGAUAUAUGGAGGAACACCAGUGGCGAAGGCGACGAUCUGGCGCAUAACUGACGCUCAGUCCCGAAAGCGUGGGGAGCAAAUAGGAUUAGAUACCCUAGUAGUCCACGCCGUAAACGAUGAGUACUAAGUGUUGGGUGUCAAAGCUCAGUGCUGCAGUUAACGCAAUAAGUACUCCGCCUGAGUAGUACGUUCGCAAGAAUGAAACUCAAAGGAAUUGACGGGGGCCCGCACAAGCGGUGGAGCAUGUGGUUUAAUUCGAAGCAACGCGAAGACCUUACCAGGUCUUGACAUCGAUCUAAAGGCUCCAGAGAUGGAGAGAUAGCUAUAGAGAAGACAGGUGGUGCAUGGUUGUCGUCAGCUCGUGUCGUGAGAUGUUGGGUUAAGUCCCGCAACGAGCGCAACCCCUGUUGCCAGUUGCCAGCAUUAAGUUGGGGACUCUGGCGAGACUGCCGGUGACAAGCCGGAGGAAGGCGGGGAUGACGUCAAAUCAUCAUGCCCCUUAUGACCUGGGCUACACACGUGCUACAAUGGACAGAGCAGAGGGAAGCGAAGCCGCGAGGUGGAGCGAAACCCAUAAAACUGUUCUCAGUUCGGACUGCAGUCUGCAACUCGACUGCACGAAGAUGGAAUCGCUAGUAAUCGCGAAUCAGCAUGUCGCGGUGAAUACGUUCUCGGGCCUUGUACACACCGCCCGUCACACCAUGAGAGUCGGUAACACCCGAAGCCGGUGGCCUAACCGCAAGGAAGGAGCUGUCUAAGGUGGGACUGAUGAUUGGGGUGAAGUCGUAACAAGGUAACC
rnacentral:rRNA from 1 species